UGGGGAAUUUUGGACAAUGGGCGAAGCCUGAUCCAGCAAUCGCCGCUGUGUGAAGAAGGCCUUCGGGUUGUAAAGCACUUUUGUCCGGAAAGAAAUCCUUGGCUCUAAUACAGUCGGGGGAUGACGGUACCGGAAGAAUAAGCACCGGCUAACUACGUGCCAGCAGCCGCGGUAAUACGUAGGGUGCAAGCGUUAAUCGGAAUUACUGGGCGUAAAGCGUGCGCAGGCGGUUUGCUAAGACCGAUGUGAAAUCCCCGGGCUCAACCUGGGAACUGCAUUGGUGACUGGCAGGCUAGAGUAUGGCAGAGGGGGGUAGAAUUCCACGUGUAGCAGUGAAAUGCGUAGAGAUGUGGAGGAAUACCGAUGGCGAAGGCAGCCCCCUGGGCAAUACUGACGCUCAUGCACGAAAGCGUGGGGAGCAAACAGGAUUAGAUACCCUGGUAGUCCACGCCCUAAACGAUGUCAACUAGUUGUUGGGGAUUCAUUCCUUAGUAACGUAGCUAACGCGUGAAGUUGACCGCCUGGGGAGUACGGUCGCAAGAUUAAAACUUCAAAGGAAUUGACGGGGUCAUAGCUGUUUCCU
rnacentral:rRNA from 1 species